rnacentral:lncRNA from 1 species
CAGCGAAUAUAAAGCAGGCAGAAAUAUGUGAAAAGGAGCGAGACUGGCCUAGCCUCCCAGCCUCCAUCUUCCUCCUGUGCUGGAUGUUUCCUGCCCUCAAACAUUGGACUCCAAGUUCUUCAGUUUUGGGACUCGGACUGGCUCUCCUUGCUCCUCAGCUUUUAGACAGCUUAGUGUGGGACCUUGUGAUCGCCAUCCUUCACCGAAGCACGAAGCAGAAUCAAGCUGUUGCCAUGAAGCUUGUUUCAAGAGCUCAGAAAUACUCCAGGGACUCCUUUACUACUGCUUUUCAAAGAGGCCUUUUUUUCUCUCUUCUCCUUUUCCUGCAAAGAGGGUUAUAUCCAGUGCUCAAGGACAUGGGAUUAUCAGCCUAAGGCAUGAGUACAUGCUGUGGAAACAGAAAUAUGUAUGAAGGGAUGUAUGAAACCACAGAAUAAAUGGAAUCCACAUUCUUGAAGUAGCUACAACUCUACUUGAGGGUAUUUGGAAAUACUGCACAUUCGGGCUAAGAAUGAGAUGACCAUUUUCUCAUUUUCAACUAAUUAUUUCAAGAUACCAAAACAAAACAAACAAAUGCCAUUGUACUGGCCUGCGUAGCUUACAACAGUUACCCUGUCUAAGAAGGAGAUUGAUUCCAGAACCCAGAAUAAAGCAGAGAAUGCAGAUGGUGGUCACAUGGGUUCAGGUAAGGAGUAAGGAAAGUCACUGGCCCUUCUCCAAGUGCUGUGCAGGUGCAAAAGUUAUUUAAUUUUCUGUUUCUCUCUUGAAUGAAUAUGCUACCUAUUUGGUGGUAUAACACGUAAACUCAUUCAUAUUAAAUGUCAAUACAUGCUUUAAUGUUUUAAUCAAUAAAUGUACUAAAUAAUUUAAAUUUACAAGGGAUUUUGGAAACAGAUCCAACUUUAAGCAUGGCAGGAAAUUGAUAUUUGGACAAGGAAUGUUAGCACAUUCUUAGAUCAUACUCAGAUUUAAGGUAAGACUACUCUAUUUUUCAAACCAAUCUAGGUAUAUAAAACCAAAUCUAGUUAGAAUGAGAAUACUAAAUUAAACAUAAGUUUGUUAUUCAGAUAUUCCAUGUAGAACUGUGGGAUGAAGUGCAAUCAGCUGUGACUGGUUGGAAUAAGGACCUGCCUUAUCCCAUGGAGAGUUAGAGAAUCUGUUCCAACAAGGACAGAAGGUCCAGGUGGGAAGAGCUCUGGAAAACAAAACUCUCUGACAGCGCUCUUGAAAGCUCUGCUGGCAUCCCAAGGCACGUAGAUAGUACCUAUACAUCUCAUCAGGAACAUGGAUGGUUCUCUGCUAUCAGCUGAAGUGCUGUGACCACAAAACUGAAAAUUCCCAUUCUGUGUCCUUGCCAAUAAAGAAUGUCCAUCAGAGCACGCCCAGUAUCCUAGCUCCUUAUCCAGACUGUGCUUCUCAAUGUGACAAGGAAGACUGCAACCCUAUUUGCUUCUGAUAACCUUCCUAUGACUAAGUCUUCUCUGGUUGAGAUUCCUGGGGAGGACACUCAUGACAAUUGUGGUUUUUGGAGGAUCUAUCUUUAGGCAGCUAAAAGGAAGUUCAGAGAAAGCCCCUUCCUAUACUUCGCAGGAGAAAAAAGAGGUGUGCUACAACAACAUGACCCCAGCAAGCAAGAUUAUUUCUGUGCACUGAUAGGAAAAGGAAGCAAGCCAUGAGUGCCUGUUGAAGCUGGAAAAGCAAGAUUGAUGUUGAGGCUUGAUUGAAGGAGUGCAAGGUCACUCACAGAAGAAGUCAUGGUGCAAGAGUACAUCUCAAUCCUGCCCUAGCCUGGAAACAGCAUGCUCUGCUGCAUUUGCAUGCCCAAGGCACUGCUUGUCCUAAGCCCCAUCCUAGAAACUCUCUAUAGCUUUAUUUCCCUUAAGAAGGUAGAAAAACAUCAACAACCUAUCCGUACUAGCUGAAUGGCCUCUAGGCCUAUUGGGCAAGUACACCCAGAUGAGCAUCACUCUUAAGUGGCUGCUUCAGGUCAAGGUCUUUUGUGUUGGGGCAGCUGCAAACUGGCCUCUUUGGCUAUCCCAAGACCCUCUAAGUCCAAGGAGCUUUCAACCUCUAGUGAUGUUCAAUCUCUGUAAAGCUGUGUAAUGGGGGAUAAACAUUAAAGUUGUUUCACAUUUAAAAAAAA